rnacentral:misc_RNA from 1 species
CCCCAUGUAUCAACGAGAAAUAGCACGCCUUUACUGGUAUCGAGUUUAGCCAACUGAGCGUUGUACUUUUCGAUCAGCGUUUCGGCAUUUUCGCCUGGAACGAAAUCGAUCCAGCCGACGUUUUCCUGCUCGCCUAACAGCAUUUCGGCUGUUUUAAGUAACUGCUCUGCAGCCCAACCAUGUGUGCCUAUAACAAUAGCAAUGGUCACUUGCUACCUCCUUUAUUAUUGUCAACACAUCAACUUGACAGAUGUAUUUUUUGAAUCGCCGUCCGCAAGCGAAUCGAUUCAGAUGAGGGUUACAACGAAAAACGCAUGAUUUUCGUGAAUUAUUUUAGAUAUCGAAAAAAAUAUUUUGUGUGAUGGAGAUCCGUAAUUUUGUUUUCGAUAAUGAGAAAUUUCGAAGUGUAAAAUAUCCUGGUUACAUCUC